rnacentral:rRNA from 1 species
GACGAACGCUGGCGGCGUGCCUAAUACAUGCAAGUCGAGCGGAUGGAAGGAAGCUUGCUUCCUAAAGUCAGCGGCGGACGGGUGAGUAACACGUGGGCAACCUGCCCCUAAGAUCGGGAUAACUUCGGGAAACCGGAGCUAAUACCGGAUAUGAUUAUGUCUCACAUGAGACGUAAUGGAAAGACGGUUUCGGCUGUCACUUAGGGAUGGGCCCGCGGCGCAUUAGCUAGUUGGUGAGGUAACGGCUCACCAAGGCGACGAUGCGUAGCCGACCUGAGAGGGUGAGCGGCCACACUGGGACUGGGAAACGGCCCAGACUCCUACGGGGGGCAGCAGUAGGGAAUCUUCCACAAUGGACGAAAGUCUGAUGGAGCAACGCCGCGUGAGCGAUGAAGGCCUUCGGGUCGUAAAGCUCUGUUGUUAGGGAAGAACAAGUACCGGAGUAACUGCCGGUACCUUGACGGUACCUAACCAGAAAGCCACGGCUAACUACGUGCCAGCCGCCGCCGUAACAC